rnacentral:rRNA from 1 species
UACGGGGGGAGCAAGCGUUGUUCGGAUUUACUGGGCGUAAAGGGCGGGUAGGCGGCCACCGCAAGUCGACUGUGAAAUCUCCGGGCUUAACCCGGAAAGGUCAGCCGAUACUGCGGGGCUAGAGUGCAGAAGGGGCAACUGGAAUUCUCGGUGUAGCGGUGAAAUGCGUAGAUAUUGGGAGGAACACCAGUGGCGAAGGCGGCUCACUGGACCGGAACUGACACUGAGGAGCGAAAGCCAGGGGAGCAAACGGG